UUGGAGGCAGCAGUGGGGAAUCUUGCGCAAUGGGCGAAAGCCUGACGCAGCAACGCCGCGUGGAGGAUGAAGGCCCUUGGGUUGUAAACUCCUGUCGGCUGGGAAGAAAUCGUUCGGGGCCAAUACCCCCGGACGUUGACUGUACCAGCAAAGGAAGCCCCGGCUAACUCUGUGCCAGCAGCCGCGGUAAUACAGAGGGGGCCAGCGUUAUUCGGAAUUAUUGGGCGUAAAGGGCGCGUAGGCGGCCAUGCGUGUCUUCCGUGAAAUCCCUCGGCUUAACUGAGGACGUGCGGAAGAAACUGCAAGGCUCGAGUCCGGGAGAGGGGGGUGGAAUUCCCAGUGUAGCGGUGAAAUGCGUAGAUAUUGGGAGGAACACCGGUGGCGAAGGCGGCCCCCUGGACCGGUACUGACGCUGAGGCGCGAAAGCGUGGGGAGCAAUCGGGAUUAGAUACCCUAGUAU
rnacentral:rRNA from 1 species